rnacentral:rRNA from 1 species
UACGAGUGCCCCAAGCGUUAUCCGGAAUCAUUGGGCGUAAAGGGUGUGUAGGUGGCGAUGUUAGUCUUCUGUUAAAACCCCGGGCUUAACCCGGGAUCUGCAGGGGAAACGGCAUUGCUUGAGGGUGCGAGGGGUGAAUGGAACUCAUGGAGUAGGGGUGAAAUCCGUUGAUGAUCAUGGGGAACACCAAAAGCGAAGGCAAUUCACUGGCGCAUUCCUGACACU